rnacentral:rRNA from 1 species
CACGUAGGGACCAAGCGUUGUCCGGAUUUAUUGGGCGUAAAGGGCUCGUAGGCGGUUUGUCGCGUCGGGAGUGAAAACUCAGGGCUUAACCCUGAGCCUGCUUCCGAUACGGGCAGACUAGAGGUAUGCAGGGGAGAAUGGAAUUCCUGGUGUAGCGGUGAAAUGCGCAGAUAUCAGGAGGAACACCGGUGGCGAAGGCGGUUCUCUGGGCAUUACCUGACGCUGAGGAGCGAAAGUGUGGGGAGCGAACAGG